rnacentral:rRNA from 1 species
AGAGUUUGAUCAUGGCUCAGAUUGAACGCUGGCGGCAUGCCUUACACAUGCAAGUCGAACGGUAACGCGGGGCAACCUGGCGACGAGUGGCGAACGGGUGAGUAAUGCAUCGGAACGUGCCCAGUAGUGGGGGAUAGCCCGGCGAAAGCCGGAUUAAUACCGCAUACGACCUGAGGGUGAAAGCGGGGGAUCGCAAGACCUCGCGCUAUUGGAGCGGCCGAUGUCAGAUUAGGUAGUUGGUGGGGUAAAGGCCUACCAAGCCUACGAUCUGUAGCUGGUCUGAGAGGACGACCAGCCACACUGGGACUGAGACACGGCCCAGACUCCUACGGGAGGCAGCAGUGGGGAAUUUUGGACAAUGGGCGCAAGCCUGAUCCAGCCAUGCCGCGUGCGGGAAGAAGGCCUUCGGGUUGUAAACCGCUUUUGUCAGGGAAGAAAUCCUUUGGGCUAAUACCCCGGGGGGAUGACGGUACCUGAAGAAUAAGCACCGGCUAACUACGUGCCAGCAGCCGCGGUAAUUC